rnacentral:rRNA from 1 species
UACGAAGGGGGCUAGCGUUGUUCGGAAUUACUGGGCGUAAAGCGCACGUAGGCGGACUAUUAAGUCAGGGGUGAAAUCCCGGGGCUCAACCCCGGAACUGCCUUUGAUACUGGUAAUCUCGAGUCCGGAAGAGGUGAGUGGAAUUCCGAGUGUAGAGGUGAAAUUCGUAGAUAUUCGGAGGAACACCAGUGGCGAAGGCGGCUCACUGGUCCGGUACUGACGCUGAGGUGCGAAAGCGUGGGGAGCAAACAGG